ensembl:lncRNA
GAGUGAAAUAGAACUGUUCGAGCUGGGGAAAUGUACAGAGAGCAAGAGAACAGUCAACUGGAAUGGCCUGACCAUACAUAUGAGCUCCAUCUCUGAGAAGCUUUGACUUUUAAACUUAGAAGCUGUGUGUGCCCUGAGUCAGGCGAUGACCCACGAGUGGGAGUUACAAAGGAUUAUGAGAGUUGGACUAUAAAGAAAGCUGAGCACCAAAGAACUGAUGCUUUUGAACUGUGGUGUUAGAGAAGACUCUUGAGAGUCCCUUGGACUGCUAGGAGAUCCAACCAGCCCAUCCUAAAGGAAAUCAGUCCUGAAUAUUCAUUGGAAGGACUGAUGCUGAAGCUGAAACUCCAGUACUUUGGCCACCUGAUGCAAAGAACUGACUCAUUGGGAAAGACCCUGAUGCUGGGAAAGAUUGAAGUGUCUUUGGAAACCCACUCCAAUAUUCUUGCCUGGAGAAUCUCAUGGAUGGAGGAGCCUGGUGGGCUACGGUCCAUGGGAUCGCAAAGAGUCGGACACAACUGAGUGACUUCACUUCACUUGGAAAAGAAAAAGCCUUUACUUUCAAUGAAGUCCGAUUCAUCAUUUUUUCUUUUAUAUUUUGUGGUGGUUGUCUCCUGUUUAAAAAAUAUUUUCCUGAUCCAAAGUCACUCAAUAUUUUUUAAAAAUUUUAUUCUAGAACAUUUCUAGUUUUAGCUUUUGCAUUUAGUUCAGUGAUUGAUUUCAAGUUAAUUGUUUUAUAUGGUGAGAGGUCAUGGUCAAAGUUCUUUUUUUUGCAUAUGGAUAUUUAAUUAUUCCAGUACCAAUUAUUGAAAUGAUUAUCCUUUCCCCACUUAACUGCAUUUUCAUUAUUCUGUACAUCAAUUGGCCACAUAUGUGUGGGUCUAUUUCUACACACUUCACUGUGUUUCAUUGAUCUAUAUAUUUAUAUUUAUAUUGCUUCUAUAGUCUCUUUAAAUCUGAGAAGGCAAUGGCAUCCCACUCCAGUACUCUUUUAAAAAACUAUCACUACUCUUUUCUUUUUCAAAAUUGUUUAGGUUAUUUUACAUUCCUUGCAUUUUCAUAUGAAUUUUA